rnacentral:rRNA from 1 species
CCUACGGGUGGCAGCAGUGGGGAAUAUUGGACAAUGGGGGGAACCCUGAUCCAGCCAUGCCGCGUGUGUGAAGAAGGCCCUCGGGUUGUAAAGCACUUUCAGUGAGGAAGAACGCCUGGUGGUUAAUACCCAUCAGGAAAGACAUCACUCACAGAAGAAGCACCGGCUAACUCCGUGCCAGCAGCCGCGGUAAUACGGAGGGUGCGAGCGUUAAUCGGAAUUACUGGGCGUAAAGCGCGCGUAGGUGGCUUGAUAAGCCGGUUGUGAAAGCCCCGGGCUCAACCUGGGAACGGCAUCCGGAACUGGCAAGCUAGAGUGCAGGAGAGGAAGGUAGAAUUCCCGGUGUAGCGGUGAAAUGCGUAGAGAUCGGGAGGAAUACCAGUGGCGAAGGCGGCCUUCUGGACGGACACUGACACUGAGGUGCGAAAGCGUGGGUAGCAAACAGGAUUAGAUACCAUAGUAGUC